UGUGCUCUACAAGAAUUGCUGAAAACUGUC
rnacentral:piRNA from 1 species